rnacentral:rRNA from 1 species
GCAUCCUUUGCUGAGGAUACGGUUAACGGAGCGAAAGCGACGUUCAACCGCAAAAGAAGCAGAGGGGGCUUAGUGGUGGGGUGACUGCGUACCUUUUGUAUAAUGGGUCAGCGACUUAUAUUCUGUAGCAAGGUUAACCGAAUAGGGGAGCCGGAGGGAAACCGAGUCUUAACCGGGCGUUAAGUUGCAGGGUAUAGACCCGAAACCCGGUGAUCUAGCCAUGGGCAGGUUGAAGGUUGGGUAACACUAACUGGAGGACCGAACCGACUAAUGUUGAAAAAUUAGCGGAUGACCUGUGGCUGGGGGUGAAAGGCCAAUCAAACCGGGAGAUAGCUGGUUCUCCCCGAAAGCUAUUUAGGUAGCGCCUCGUGAAUUCAUCUCCGGGGGUAGAGCACUGUUUCGGCUAGGGGGCCAUCCCGGCUUACCAACCCGAUGCAAACUGCGAAUACCGGAGAAUGUUAUCACGGGAGACACACGGCGGGUGCUAACGUCCGUCGUGAAGAGGGAAACAACCCAGACCGCCAGCUAAGGUCCCAAAGUCAUGGUUAAGUGGGAAACGAUGUGGGAAGGCCCAGACAGCCAGGAUGUUGGCUUAGAAGCAGCCAUCAUUUAAAGAAAGCGUAAUAGCUCACUGGUCGAGUCGGCCUGCGCGGAAGAUGUAACGGGGCUAAACCAUGCACCGAAGCUGCGGCAGCGACGCUUAUGCGUUGUUGGGUAGGGGAGCGUUCUGUAAGCCUGUGAAGGUGGCCUGUGAGGGUUGCUGGAGGUAUCAGAAGUGCGAAUGCUGACAUAAGUAACGAUAAAGCGGGUGAAAAGCCCGCUCGCCGGAAGACCAAGGGUUCCUGUCCAACGUUAAUCGGGGCAGGGUGAGUCGACCCCUAAGGCGAGGCCGAAAGGCGUAGUCGAUGGGAAACGGGUUAAUAUUCCCGUACUUGGUGUUACUGCGAAGGGGGGACGGAGAAGGCUAUGUUGGCCGGGCGACGGUUGUCCCGGUUUAAGCGUGUAGGUGUGUGUUCCAGGUAAAUCCGGUUCACUUUAACACUGAGGCGUGAUGACGAGGCACUACGGUGCUGAAGUAACAAAUGCCCUGCUUCCAGGAAAAGCCUCUAAGCAUCAGGUAACAUCAAAUCGUACCCCAAACCGACACAGGUGGUCAGGUAGAGAAUACCAAGGCGCUUGAGAGAACUCGGGUGAAGGAACUAGGCAAAAUGGUGCCGUAACUUCGGGAGAAGGCACGCUGACAC